rnacentral:rRNA from 1 species
UUGGAGGGCAAGUCUGGUGCCAGCAGCCGCGGUAAUUCCAGCUCCAAUAGCGUAUAUUAAAGUUGUUGCAGUUAAAAAGCUCGUAGUUGAAUUUCGGGAUCAAUAUUUCGGUCAUGCCGUUGGUAUGCACUGUUAUCAUUGAUUUCUCACCUUCUAAAGAACCGUAAUGCCAUUAAUUUGGUGUUACGGGGAAUUAGGACUGUUACCUUGAAAAAAUUAGAGUGUUUAAAGCAGGCUCACGCUUGAAUACAUUAGCAUGGAAUAAUGAAAUAGGACAUCCGAUUCUAUUUUGUUGGUUUCUAGGAUCGAUGUAAUGAUUAAUAGGGAUAGUUGGGGGCAUUAGUAUUCAAUUGUCAGAGGUGAAAUUCUUGGAUUUAUUGAAGACUAACUACUGCCAAAGCAUUUGCCAAGGAUGUUUUCAUUAAUCAAGAACGAAAGUUAGGGAUCGAAGACGAUCAGAUACCGUCGUAGUCUUAACCAUAAACUAUGCCGACUAGGGAUCGGAUGAUGUUAAUUUUUUAAUGACUCAUUCGGCGCCUUACGGGAAAC